rnacentral:rRNA from 1 species
GACGAACGCUGGCGGCGUGCUUAACACAUGCUAGUCGAACGGAAAGGCCCUGCUUUUGUGGGGUGCUCGAGUGGCGAACGGGUGAGUAACACGUGAGUAACCUGCCCUUGACUUUGGGAUAACUUCAGGAAACUGGGGCUAAUACCGGAUAGGAGCUCCUGCUGCAUGGUGGGGGUUGGAAAGUUUCGGCGGUUGGGGAUGGACUCGCGGCUUAUCAGCUUGUUGGUGGGGUAGUGGCUUACCAAGGCUUUGACGGGUAGCCGGCCUGAGAGGGUGACCGGCCACAUUGGGACUGAGAUACGGCCCAGACUCCUACGGGAGGCAGCAGUGGGGAAUAUUGCACAAUGGGCGGAAGCCUGAUGCAGCAACGCCGCGUGCGGGAUGACGGCCUUCGGGUUGUAAACCGCUUUCGCCUGUGACGAAGCGUGAGUGACGGUAAUGGGUAAAGAAGCACCGGCUAACUACGUG